rnacentral:rRNA from 1 species
AGCUCCGAAAGUGUAUGCUAAAGUUGUUGCGGUUGAAAAGCUCGUAGUUGGAUGAAGAGCGCGCGGCGCCGGUCCGUCCGUCGAAGGGCGUGCACCGGCGUCGAGAGUUCCGCCUGUCGGCGCUUCCCGGGUGUUCUUGAUCGGGUGCACGGGGUGACCGACGAGUUUACUUUGAAAAAAUUAGAGUGUUCAAAGCAGGUUUUUCGCCUGCAUAGUGUUGCAUGGAAUAAUGGAAUAAGACCUCGGUCUCGUUUCGUUGGCGUUCGCGAGUGCGAGGUAAUGAUUGAGAGGGACAGCCGGGGGCGUCCGUACUCUGCCGUUAGAGGUGAAAUUCUUGGAUCGGCGGAAGACGAACUACUGCGAAAGCGUUCGCCAAGAAUGUUUUCU